UAUUUGUCACGCAAUCGCGUGAAGCCGAAUGACUUACUCAGUUAUCUUCUUAGCCAGCUGUGUGCAAGCUGCGGAGGAGUUAGCGGAGAAAACUCGGUAUCCACUUUUCGCCACGUUCAUUGUGCCGCUGCGUCGGUGAUUCGCGUCCCCUGUAAAGAAAAAGCCCAAACGCGGACUUUGGCUCACACAAAUGUCGGCUUGCGACGCUGAGGGGGUGAUAAAGCUGCCACACGAGUAAUGCAGUUGUGUCCCACCCAACACCUCUCACCACAUUCCAGGAAGAUCUGAGCAUGUGUCCGGCUCUCCUCUGUGUCAAGGCAGGUGCAUCAGGCGGCAAUUACCUAUUGUGUGAAGGACUGAGAGCCCCGGAUGGGAGAUAUUUAUGUUUGGUCACUUUAAGUUUGAUUCUUCCACACCCCGCCCCUCCUAAAAAGACUUGUAUAAUAAAUACCCGUUUUGGCUUGCUGCAAAACAAA